AACGAACGCUGGCGGCAUGCCUAACACAUGCAAGUCGAACGAUGCCUUCGGGCAUAGUGGCGCACGGGUGCGUAACGCGUGGGAAUCUGCCCUUGGCUUCGGAAUAACAGUUAGAAAUGACUGCUAAUACCGGAUGAUGUCCCCCUGAGAGAUCUUGGGGACCAAAGAUUUAUCGGCCAGGGAUGAGCCCGCGUAGGAUUAGGUAGUUGGUGGGGUAAAGGCCUACCAAGCCGACGAUCCUUAGCUGGUCUGAGAGGAUGAUCAGCCACACUGGGACUGAGACACGGCCCAGACUCCUACGGGAGGCAGCAGUGGGGAAUAUUGGACAAUGGGGGGAACCCUGAUCCAGCAAUGCCGCGUGAGUGAUGAAGGCCUUAGGGUUGUAAAGCUCUUUCACCAGGGAUGAUAAUGACAGUACCUGGAGAAUAAGCGCCGGCUAACUCCGUG
rnacentral:rRNA from 1 species